AGCUUUGCGCAGUGGCAGUAUCGUAGCCAAUGAGGUUUAUCCGAGGCGCGAUUAUUGCUAAUUAAAGUGUUGGAAGUGCCAAAAUUUUCCCAUAAAUUUCUGGAGUGGAUUUAGCGCA
rnacentral:snRNA from 1 species